GACGAAUGCUGGCGGCGUGCUUAACACAUGCAAGUCGAACGAAGAGCGAUGGAAGCUUGCUUCUAUCAAUCUUAGUGGCGAACGGGUGAGUAACGCGUAAUCAACCUGCCCUUCAGAGGGGGACAACAGUUGGAAACGACUGCUAAUACCGCAUACGAUCUAAUCUCGGCAUCGAGGAUAGAUGAAAGGUGGCCUCUACAUGUAAGCUAUCACUGAAGGAGGGGAUUGCGUCUGAUUAGCUAGUUGGAGGGGUAACGGCCCACCAAGGCGAUGAUCAGUAGCCGGUCUGAGAGGAUGAACGGCCACAUUGGGACUGAGACACGGCCCAGACUCCUACGGGAGGCAGCAGUGGGGAAUCUUCCGCAAUGGACGAAAGUCUGACGGAGCAACGCCGCGUGAGUGAUGACGGCCUUCGGGUUGUAAAGCUCUGUUAAUCGGGACGAAAGGCCUUCUUGCGAAUAGUGAGAAGGAUUGACGGUACCGGAAUAGAAAGCCACGGCUAACUACGUG
rnacentral:rRNA from 1 species